GGUUCGGCAAUAGAGAAAUGAGCGCAAUGCCAUUGUUUAUGAAAUCAGGCUUUGGCGCUGCCUCGGUCAUUCUAACGGCAUAGUAGCGUCUACCACUGUACUCCUAAUUUGUUUCACACGUGCUUCAUCUUGUGUUGUGCUACCCUUUUCUUUCUGAUUUCUUUCUAUACUUCUAAGAUUCACCAAUGGUAUGCUAACUGUACACAUCUACCCACCUCAACCCAGUUCCCCCCUCACCCUCCACUUCUCUUUAUUUGUAAAUACAAAUAAAUCUGUAUGCCGCCUGGCGCUUCGCUACAGCACCGCGGCAAGAAACCAACCACCAAGAAUAAACAUAGAAAAAAUCGUAGAGAUAAUCUUACGCAUUGCUGCGAUGCAUAUCAACUGACUAAAUUAAGGCGGCACCAAAACGAAACCAUAAUGCUGAAAACUACAACCUUACACACAAAAUAGACUCCUAAAAAUGACCAUUAAGAAGGCUUGCCGACCGCUAAGAGCGGCAGGAAGUCAGCGGAGGCGUUUUGCCUCGAACACCAAUAUCGAUCGUCAGGAAUGCGCUAGCUUGAAAAACAAGUUCUCCAUCUAUAUACGCGGAAAUAUAUUCCACAUUGUGCAAGCGCAAUCGUUGUCACACCGUGCAAGCAACGCUGGAAUUCCAUCACAGAGCUUGCGACAUCUCGGGAACGUUCAAAAACACACCAGAGGCGAGCGCACACUGACAAACACGUUGAAAGGCAACUGCGAGUUUCCCAAACAACGAAAAACAAAGGUGUUUAUCUGCCGUCGACGUCGUCAGUGAGCUUCCGCUAUUUGUGCCGUUUAUGUUAUUGACGCUGCUGCUACGUACUGAUACGUUUCUUGUUGCCUUUCUUUCUUUCUUUCUUUCUUUCUUUCUUUCUUUCUUUCUUUCUUUCUUUGUCUGCAUAGGUAGUUACAUGUUGCUGUCAAGGCUAUCGUUCCUGGUAUUGCUUGCUCGGCUACCGGCAGCGUGGACAAGCCAGACGUAGAACGCCAACCGCGUCAUGCUGAUGUAAGCUUCGAGACCGCGAAUGGCACGCCUCCUCCUGAUGUACGUCCGCCAAGCUUGGACCACUGUUUCAACAGCUGCUUACGGCUCGCCGUGAUAUCAGCAAGCGCAAGGCUCACCUGCAGAGACUACGUGUGACUGCCAGUGACGUCACGCCCACCAGGUGGAAGAACAAGCUACAUAAAGGCCUGCAUCUCCAAUCCGCAACCACUUGGCAGCAGCAGGGGCAGCCCGACAAUGUUCUGAAGCUACUUUGUAUAUUUGCAGGGAAACGUACAGGCACCUCUAGGAACUCUUGAGCAUGAACCAAAGUUGUUGAAAAGAAGAGGAACAGGACAACCCACCUUGGGGC